AGAGUUUGAUCAUGGCUCAGAUUAAACGCUAGCGGCAUGCCUUACACAUGCAAGUCGAACGGCAGCGGGCUCUUCGGAGUGCCGGCGAGUGGCAAACGGGUGAGUAAUACAUCGGAACAUGCCCAGUAGUGGGGGAUAGCUCGGCGAAAGCCGAAUUAAUACCGCAUACGACUUUCGGGUGAAAGAGGGGGAUCGCAAGACCUCUCGCUAUUGGAGUGGCCGAUGGCUGAUUAGUUUGUUGGUGGGGUAAUGGCCUACCAAGACUACGAUCAGUAGCUGGUCUGAGAGGACGAUCAGCCACACUGGGACUGAGACACGGCCCAGACUCCUACGGGAGGCAGCAGUGGGGAAUCUUGCACAAUGGAGGAAACUCUGAUGCAGCGAUGCCGCGUGAGUGAAGAAGGCCCUUGGGUUGUAAAGCUCUUUCGUCGGGGAAGAAAAUGACUGUACCCGAAUAAGAAGGUCCGGCUAACUUCGUGCCAGCCGCCGCGGUAAUAC
rnacentral:rRNA from 1 species